CUUCUCCGAUCAUGCAGCACUGGAACAAACAGACAAUGAACACAGAUGGUUUUCCACUGGUACGGAAUGGUUACCUGUCUCCUGACUUGGAGAGGAGUGAUGGCACAUCUACAGGCAGAUAGCAACCUGUCAGGGAGGCUGGAGAGCGUGACUGUUCCAGCACCCAGUGAUCCUUCCCGGCUGCCAUCCAAGCCCUGCCCAUGGAGCCAUUCCUUGGCCCCAUGACUUGACCCCGCUCCUGAAGGAGUAGCACAAAGAACAGUCCUCAUGGACCUCAUGCAAGACUGCCUCGCAAACAGGCACUGCUUCCGUCCAGGCCAAGGGAAGUUGGCAACAUGUGUCUGGACAUCCUCUUCACUUUUGAUAGU